CAACGGGAACACCACGGGAACGUGGCAGUGUUCCGGUGACAGCACAGCAGCAGCUGACGCGGAAACUGCCUGGAAGCUUCUCCUGUGUCACAAAGGAGCACAAAGAACCCUCCCAGGGCACAGCCUCUUGCCCAAAGGAUCCAAGAGGAACUCGGGAAUUGCAGCAAACAAGGACACCCCAUAGCCCAGCCUGAACACUGAGGAGGAACAAGGACGGCACCAAACCAAAGGAAUCGUGACCUUUAGUCACUGAUACUUCUGACUAAAAGCAGCAAGCCUUGUUCCACCUGGGAUCUUUGUUCUAGUUCUAAAAACAAGCAAGGUUCUCCAGUCUAAAUACACAGAAGGCAGGAACUGGGGAGGAGGUGGGAUUGGGAGACAGGAGGAGGAGGGAGAGAGGAAAAGGAGGAGCAGGAAGAGGAGGAUCAGGAGCAGGAAAAGGAGAAAUAGGUGGUUCUAGUGGCCACAGCUUCCCUGGCCCUGGCCUUGCUUCCACCUCGUGCUGCACGUGAGCGGGGAGGGGGAGCUCGUCCCAAAUCUAUGAGGGGGUCCCUGAGAGGUUCUCCACUCCCUGCGUUACCUGGAUGUGGCGGUGUCAGAGCCCAGCCCGGGGAUCCCCCAGUUCAUGUCCAUUGGGUUCGUGGAUGGGAUCCCCUUCACAUGCUACGACAGCGAGUGGGGCCAGAUGGAGCCGCUGACACAGUGGAUAAAGGAUGGAGUCGAGCCGGAAUAUUGGGAGAAGGAAUUGCUGUGAGGAACCAGCACGUGGCUGCCAGGAGCCUGGAGACAGCGCGGGAGCGGUACAACCAGAGCGGGGGUCUCCACACACUGGUGACAGUUUAUGGCUGUGACCUCCUGUCCAAUGGGAGCAUCUGUGGAUCGCUACGGUAUGGCUACAACGGGCGGGAUUUCAUCUCCUUUGACCUGGAAUCUGGGAGAUUCGUGGCAGCCGACAGCGCUGCUGAGAUCACCAGGAGGUGCUGGGAACAGGAAGGGACCGAGGCUGAGGGUUGGACGAAUUACCUGAAGCACGAAUGCCCGGAAUGCCUCCGGAAAUACGUCGGAUAUGGGCAGAAUGAGCUGGAGCGCAAAGAGCCCCCUGAUGUCCAUGUGUCCGGAAAAGAGGAACACGGGACGCUGAUCCUGUCCUGCCACGCGUACGGAUUUUACCCCAGCACCAUCGCAGUCAGCUGGAUGAAGGGGGAUGAUACCUUGGAUCAGGGGCCGGAGUGGGGCGGGAUCGUUCCCAACAGCGACGGCACCUUCCACACCUGGGCCAGGAUCGAGGCGCUGCCGGAGGAGCGGGAGCUGUACCGGUGCAGGGUGGAGCAUCCUGGAAUGCUGGAGCCCGGGAUCUUCGCUUGGGAGCCGACAUCUGGUGGGAAUCUCACCGUGGUGGUCGCUGUGUCCGUCGUCGCUGCCAUCCUCAUCCUCACCGUCCUCAUCGGAUUCGCUGUCUGGAGGCUCCAAUCUGGGAGGAGGGACAGGAAAGGCUACAACCCGGCAGCCGGAAGGGAUGUGGGAACCAAUGGCUUGAGCACAGGAAUCACCACCUGAGCGAUCCAUGGAGCCAGAUCUGGCCCCUUCCCUCUUCCCAGGAAAGCUGAGAGCUGCCAGCAGAGCUCAUCCUGCACCUCUGACCCACCCCACAGCUCUUGCUAACGGAUCAGUUUCCUGUUUUCCAGUGUUUUGAAGGCAAGAACCACAAAUAUUCCCAAUGCUUUAGUUCUGGUGUGAAAUUAUCCUGCUUUGGGCAAUAAAUCCUGCUUUGGGCAAUAAAUUCAGGUUCCCUCC